rnacentral:rRNA from 1 species
GGCUCAGGAUGAACGCUAGCUACAGGCUUAACACAUGCAAGUCGAGGGGCAUCAGGAAGAAAGCUUGCUUUCUUUGCUGGCGACCGGCGCACGGGUGAGUAACACGUAUCCAACCUGCCCUUUACUCGGGGAUAGCCUUUCGAAAGAAAGAUUAAUACCCGAUGGCAUAAUGAUUCCGCAUGGUUUCAUUAUUAAAGGAUUCCGGUAAAGGAUGGGGAUGCGUUCCAUUAGGUUGUUGGUGAGGUAACGGCUCACCAAGCCUUCGAUGGAUAGGGGUUCUGAGAGGAAGGUCCCCCACAUUGGAACUGAGACACGGUCCAAACUCCUACGGGAGGCAGCAGUGAGGAAUAUUGGUCAAUGGGCGCUAGCCUGAACCAGCCAAGUAGCGUGAAGGAUGAAGGCUCUAUGGGUCGUAAACUUCUUUUAUAUAAGAAUAAAGUGCAGUAUGUAUACUGUUUUGUAUGUAUUAUAUGAAUAAGGAUCGGCUAACUCCGUGCCAGCAGCCGCGGUAAUACGGAGGAUCCGAGCGUUAUCCGGAUUUAUUGGGUUUAAAGGGAGCGUAGGUGGACUGGUAAGUCAGUUGUGAAAGUUUGCGGCUCAACCGUAAAAUUGCAGUUGAUACUGUCAGUCUUGAGUACAGUAGAGGUGGGCGGAAUUCGUGGUGUAGCGGUGAAAUGCUUAGAUAUCACGAAGAACUCCGAUUGCGAAGGCAGCUCACUGGACUGCAACUGACACUGAUGCUCGAAAGUGUGGGUAUCAAACAGGAUUAGAUACCCUGGUAGUCCACACAGUAAACGAUGAAUACUCGCUGUUUGCGAUAUACAGUAAGCGGCCAAGCGAAAGCAUUAAGUAUUCCACCUGGGGAGUACGCCGGCAACGGUGAAACUCAAAGGAAUUGACGGGGGCCCGCACAAGCGGAGGAACAUGUGGUUUAAUUCGAUGAUACGCGAGGAACCUUACCCGGGCUUAAAUUGCAGUGGAAUGAUGUGGAAACAUGUCAGUGAGCAAUCACCGCUGUGAAGGUGCUGCAUGGUUGUCGUCAGCUCGUGCCGUGAGGUGUCGGCUUAAGUGCCAUAACGAGCGCAACCCUUAUCUUUAGUUACUAACAGGUUAUGCUGAGGACUCUAGAGAGACUGCCGUCGUAAGAUGUGAGGAAGGUGGGGAUGACGUCAAAUCAGCACGGCCCUUACGUCCGGGGCUACACACGUGUUACAAUGGGGGGUACAGAAGGCAGCUAGCGGGUGACCGUAUGCUAAUCCCAAAAGCCUCUCUCAGUUCGGAUCGAAGUCUGCAACCCGACUUCGUGAAGCUGGAUUCGCUAGUAAUCGCGCAUCAGCCACGGCGCGGUGAAUACGUUCCCGGGCCUUGUACACACCGCCCGUCAAGCCAUGGGAGCCGGGGGUACCUGAAGUACGUAACCGCAAGGAUCGUCCUAGGGU